AAGGCGUGUGUCUGCGCCGUGGCCGCCGCCGCCGCCGCUGCCUGUCGCCGAGCCUGGCAUCUCCGAGCCCCCGCGCGGGGGGCUGCCGCCCAGCGCUGAUUGACAGCCCGCCUCGCCAAUGCCUGGAGGGAGAAAGGAGGUACAGAUAUGCAACAAUAACUAUAUGGAGAUGUAUAUUAGACUCCUGGAGCUGAAUAUCACUGUGCAGAAGAUGGCUGAUGGUUUGAGUAUGGACGAGUGAAGACAUGGGACAGAAGCCCAGCCAGUCAGACAGCCUCAGAGGAUGCAGAACAGCCUGGGAACAGAGAGGAGGCUCAAGACAAUGAAAACCGAUACCACGGGAGGAAGCACUUCUGAAGGAGAAAUGGAUUCAGUUCCAACAGGCUUGGAGACAUUUAGCAAAAUAUAAAUAAAAAGAUAAGACAACGUGCUAAGUAAUCAUUAUUGAGGACCUUGCUGAGAACAUAUGAUGCCAGGCUGAGGAACGUGGGGUAUACCUACCUGGCAGGGCACCUAGCGCAGCACACUCGGGGCUCUGGAUUUAUGCCCCGCACCAGAGAGGGUAAAGGGAAUAAGGACAGACUGAGAAGGAGAGCAAGAGAAUCCUGCUUUCCUGAGACUCUGAGAGGGAAGAGCGAGUCUGGGGUUGGAGAGAUGGCUCGGUGGCUAAGAACACAGACUGCUCUCCCGGAGGUCCUGAGUUCAAUUCCUAGCAACCACAUGGUGGCUCACAACCAUCUGUCAUGGGAUCCAAGACAAUGACAGUGCACAGUGUACUUACACAAAACAAAUCAAUAAAUAUUUUAAAAAUAUUAUUUUAUGUGACUGUGUUUUGCCUUCAUGUAUGUCUGUGUACCACUUGCAUACCUGGUGCCCAUGGGGUGCAGAAGAGGGCUCUGAGCUCCCUGGAACUGACACUACAGAGCCGGGAAUCAAACCUGGGUCUUCGGGAAGAGCCAAUCAUUGACCUAUCGUUCCAGCCCCUUAGUUAAUCUUAGUUUUCCUCUUUUUAAAGACUUAUUUAUUUAUUUUAUGUAUAUGAGUGCUCUGUAUGUAUGUACACUUGCGCCCCAAAGAGGGCAUCAGGUCUCAUUACAGAUGGUUGUGAUACCGGAAAUUGAACUUAGGACCUUUGGAAGAGCAGCCAGUGCUUUUAACCGGGGAGCCAUCUCUCCAGCCUCUAAUCUUAGUUUUCUAUUUAUGUGAAUUCAUUUCUCACUAUCAAAGAAAGAAAACUCCUUUUGGUAACUUUAAACCGUAAAGGAAUUGACCAGAAGGCUGUUCCAUAACUCAGGGGGGAAGUGCUGGGAAUCUUGCCGCAGGGUAACAGCUCAGAGUGUGGUAGCUUGAAGGAGAAAUGUCUUCCUUAGCCUCGGCCCUUGGAGCCGAGGUGGAACGUGGUAAGACGUGCUGGGUGUGGAAAGUUCGGAGGGCGUGGCUUCCCCAGAGGAAGUACGUCGAUGGAGGUGGGCCUUUAGAGAGUCUCGACUAGGACUUGAAGUUCCAGGACACGAGUUCUCAACUUCCUUUUCCUGUUGUCAUCCUUGCCAUCCGCUGCCAUGCUGCCAUGCUGCCAUGCCUCCGCAUCACCACAUCUUCCCAUCAUUAUGGUGACGGACUUGUCCUGGAACCAUAAGCCAAAUAAAGCCUUCCUUCUAUCUGAACAGCCAAGUCUGCUUGAACCAAUAUCACAGCUGAAAUUUGUCGUAGGCCGAGGCAUUUGCUGGGAACAGGAAAUGGAGAACAUUACCAGGGGAAUGGAGUCCUUCUGUUUCCAGGUUGGAGCUGUGGUGUCUGUAAGAAAAAGGAAGCAGAGAGGACAGGCUGGCGCUGGUGUCAUUAUGCCCCCCUUCCUGAAUAUUUCCUACCAAGCAACUGCUUUGGAAAUAACAAAAUGAUUUCACUAUGGAAAAAAUGCAGAGCAAAGAAUCCGGGGCUGUUUGAUUGGCUAAUAAUGAACAUAAAGGAGUCCGUGCUUGUUGAAUGGCA